ACGAAGGGUGCAAGCGUUACUCGGAAUUACUGGGCGUAAAGGGCUCGUAGGCGGCCAACUAAGUCCGACGUGAAAUCCCCAGGCUUAACCUGGGAACUGCGUCGGAUACUGGAUGGCUUGAAUUCGGGAGAGGGAUGCAGAAUUCCAGGUGUAGCGGUGAAAUGCGUAGAUAUCAGGAGGGACACCGAUGGCGAAGGCAGGUCUCUGGGCUGACACUGACGCUCAUGCACGAAAGCGUGGGGAGCAAACAGGA
rnacentral:rRNA from 1 species